rnacentral:rRNA from 1 species
UCGGGACCGCAAGGCCUGACACUACCAGAUAAGCCCGCGGCCUAUCAGCUAGUGGCGGGUAACGGCCCACCAAGGCUAAGACGGUAGCUGGUCUGAGAGGACGACCAGCCACACUGGAACUGAGACACGGUCCAGACACCUACGGGUGGCAGCAGUCGAGAAUUUUUCACAAUGGGGGAAACCCUGAUGGAGCGACGCCGCGUGGGGGAUGAAUGGCUUCGGCCGUAAACCCCUGUCAUUUGCGAACAAACCUGGUGGUUGAACAAACUGCCAGCUGAUAGUAGCAGAAGAGGAAGGGACGGCUAACUCUGUGCCAGCAGCCGCGGUAAUACAGAGGUCCCAAGCGUUGUUCGGAUUCACUGGGCGUAAAGGGUGCGUAGGCGGUGGGGUAAGUUUGAGGUGAAAUCUCCGGGGCUACAACCCGGAAAUUGCCUUGAAGACUAUCCUGCUAGAGGAUCGGAGGGGAGACUGGAAUUCUCGGUGUAGCAGUGAAAUGCGUAGAUAUCGAGAGGAACACCAGUGGCGAU